UGAGGAAUAUUGGACAAUGGCCGGAAGGUUGAUCCAGCCAUGCCGCGUGCAGGAUGGCGGCCCUAUGGGUUGUAAACUGCUUUUACAUGGGAAGAAACCUCCCCUCGUGAGGGGAGCUGACGGUACCAUGAGAAUAAGGACCGCCUAACUCCGUGCCAGCAGCCGCGGUAAUACGGAGGGUCCGAGCGUUAUCCGGAAUCAUUGGGUUUAAAGGGUCCGUAGGCGGGCCUGUAAGUCAGGGGUGAAAGGCCACGGCUCAACCGUGGGACUGCCCUUGAUACUGCAGGUCUUGAGUUAUGGUGGGGUUGCCGGAACAUGUGGUGUAGCUGUGAAAUGCAUAGAUAUCACAUAGAACACCGAUCGCGAAGGCAGGUGACCAACCAUAUACUGACGCUGAUGGACGAAAGCGUGAGUAGCGAACGGGAUUAGAUACCCCGGUAGUCC
rnacentral:rRNA from 1 species